rnacentral:rRNA from 1 species
UAAGAGGUCAAGCCUGCCCAGUGACUAAAAUUCAACGGCCGCGGUAUCCUGACCGCGCGAAGGUAGCGUAAUCACUUGUUUUUUAAAUAAAGACUAGUAUGAAUGGCAUCACGAGGAUCAAACUGUCUCCUCUCUACAAUCAGUAAAACUAAUCUCCCCGUGAAAAAGCAGGGAUAAGACUACAAGACGAAAAGACCCUAUGGAGCUUUAAAUACAUAACUAGCACUAUAGUUAUAAAUUUUAGGUUGGGGUGACCACGGAGAAAAACCUAUCCUCCAUGACGAAUGAGCUUACUUUAAACUAAAAGUCACAACCUUAUGUAUCAACAAAUUGACCUACUGACCCAAUAAUUUGAUCAGCGAACCAAGUUACCCUAGGGAUAACAGCGCAAUCCACUUUGAGAGUUCAUAUCGACAAGUGGGCUUACGACCUCGAUGUUGGAUCAGGGUCCCCCAGUGGUGCAGCCGCUACUAAAG